rnacentral:rRNA from 1 species
CCGUGCAUCUACUAGAGAGGAGGGGAUCGUGCUGCAAUGGCACGGUACAAAGAGCUGCAAGACCGCGAGUGGGAGCUAAUCUCAUAAAACCGUUCUCAGUUCGGAUUGUAGGCUGCAACUCGCCUACAUGAAGCUGGAAUCGCUAGUAAUCGCGGAUCAGCAUGCCGCGGUGAAUACGUUCCCGGGCCUUGUACACACCGCCCGUCACACCACGAGAGUUUGUAACACCCGAAGUCGGUGGGGUAACCUUUUUGGAGCCAGCCGCCUAAGGUGGGACAGAUGAUUGGGGUGAAGUCGUAACAAGGUAGCCGUAUCGGAAGGUGCGGUUGAAUAACCUC